rnacentral:rRNA from 1 species
AUUGAACGCUGGCGGCAGGCCUAACACAUGCAAGUCGAGCGGAGCGGCGGACGGGUGAGUAAGGCCUAGGAAUCUGACUGGUAGUGGGGGAUAACGUCCGGAAACGGGCGCUAAUACCGCAUAAUAUCAGAUGAGCCUAGGUCGGAUUAGCUAGUUGGGGGGGUAAAGGCCUACCAAGGCGACGAUCCGUAACUGGUCUGAGAGGAUGAUCAGUCACACGUGAACUGAGACACGGUCCAGAAGCCUACGGUAGGCAGAAGUGGGGAAUAUGGGACAAUGUGCGAAAGCCUGAUCCAGCCAUGCCGCGUGUGUGAAGAAGGUCUUCGGAUUGUAAAGCACUUUAAGUUGGGAGGCGUUACCAACAGAAUAAGCACCGGCUAACUUCGUGCCAGCCGCCGCGGUAAUAC